rnacentral:lncRNA from 1 species
UGUAAAUCUAAAAUUCUGGCCGGGCACAGUGGCUCAUGCCUGUAGUACCACCACUUUGGAAGGCCGAGGUGGGUGGAUCACUUGAGGUCAGGAGUUCGAGACCAGCCUGGCCAACAUGGUGAAACCCCAUCUCUACUAAAAAUACAAAAAUUAGCCGGACGUGGUGGUGCACACCUGUAGUCCCAGCUACUCAGGAGGCUGAGGCAGGAGAAUUGCUUGAACCCAGGAGGUUGCAGUGAGCUGAGAUCGUGCCACUAUACUCCAGCCUUGGGGAGAGAGAGAGAUUCCAUCUCAAAAAAAGAAUACUAAAAUAAAAUAUUUUCCAAUUAAAAGCCAAAUAAUUUAUAUUUUAAACUGAGACAUCUGAGGGGUUUCUAUGGCUGGUCCAAGAUUAUCAGUUUAAAAUAUUAAGGCACUCAUACAAGCUAGAAAUCCUGGGCCUACAGAUCUGUGUUAAAGAAAAUUAUGUGAAGUCCUAAAAGAAGCCCAUUCUAGACAGUGACCAGAUUUUAACUAAAAAUUUUAAAUUACCUACUUUGCCCCACGUUUUUUCACCUCUUAUAUUUCCCAAGCAAAAAUUUAAAUCAAAUCAAUGGUUCAACAAUCAAAUUUCACUUUUCAAUUUCAAAUUUCAAUUUUAAAAUCAUAGUUUCAAAACACCUAACAGAAUUAUUGAUUUAUUCCCCAGAAGGCUUUUCUAGGUUUAGAUGGAAUUUUUAAUACUCAGCAAUUUGAAAGUCAGAGAAUUAUCUAUAAAGUAGCUUUUGUUCUUUAAAUUUUUGGUCUACAAACUUUUUUAAAGAAAGGGUAUCACUCUAUUGCUUAGGCUGGAGUGCCAUGGCACGAUCAUAGCUCACUGCAGCCUCCAUCGUGUGGGCUCCAGUGAUCCUCCCACCUCAGCCUCCUAAGUAGCUGGGGCAGGUGCAUGCUCUGCAAAUUUUAAAAUUCUUUUGCAGAGACAGGGUGGGUCUCACUAUGUUGCCCAAGCUGGUCUCAAGCUCCUGACCUCAAGCAAUCCUCUGGCCUCAAGCGAUCCUCCGUGCUAGGAUUCCAGGCAUGAGCCUACAAACUCUUAAGAGGUAAUGUAAUCUUCCCAUGUGUAUAUUAAUGAGAGAGGUCCUUGAAGUGAUGAAAAAGACUGGAUCCUGCUGACUACUGGUUGGGCUUCAGAAUGUUCCUAACAACAUUCUGAGGGUAUAAUCCACAGGAUUUCAUAUCCAGGCCUGUCUCUCAAGAGAUGUUCUCAGGGAUCUUUAACAACUAUUCCCUACUCCCCCUAACCUUAAGCAGAACAAGACUUUUCUUACAUGUUCUAUUUCCUCUGCCCUUCCCUGACAAGGUAAGCCUCUGGCAACUAUGGCUAAGUGGUUCCCCUACUGUAGAACAGAGAGCUCAGCCAGGUGAUGGGACUGCCAAUCAAAGGCCACAUGAGAUGAACUGGAGGGAAUUUUUUCCAGCUUUUGGUGUACAUGGAAUCUACCUGCAAGGCUUAGCAAAACAGCAAUGAAGACAUUUCGUUUAUCUGGGCCCUUACUUGGGGGAGUUCUGUGGUUAUAAUUACAGACAGCCACCCUAGAAAGUCUUACAUUCCUAUCCAUUUCUGUAAUUGAAUUGAUUUUAAUCUCUUCCUAUUUUAUACACCAAGGAUUUAUAGGAUGCUAAUAACUUUCUCCCCACCACUACCCUCUUCUUAUCCAAAUUCCUGUAACGUAAGGAUAUCAAGUUAACCACAGAGUUUGAAUUGAAUGCCUGUGGCUGUUUCUGGAUAAGAAUCUGAAGGGAGGCCAGGCAUGGUGGCUCACGCCUAUAAUCCUAGCACUUUGGGAGGCCAAGGUGGGUGGAUUACCUGAGGUCAGGAGUUGGAGACCAGCCUGGCUAACAUGGUGAAACCCCGUCUCUAAUAAAAAGACAAAAAAUUAGCUGGGCAUGGUUGUGUGUGCCUGUAAUCCCAGCUACUCGGGAGGCUGAGGCAGGAGAAUCACUUGAACCCAGGAGGCAGAGGUUGCAGUGAGCCGAGA